UUUCACAAGAACACUGUCCCCUCCAAACGCAGUGACUUUUAUCCCCCGCCCCUUCUCCCGCCUGCCUCACCAGGGCGCACACGCUCCUUGGCCCCGGUCGGCUGGCUGUGAUUGGCGCCGGCGGCCCCAGCAGAUGACGGAGGAGACAAAGUGAUGGCUGCAGGUCGUCUGAGGUCCCACCCCGGCCACGUGCGGCUUCUGUGAUGACAGGUCCAGAAGGGCGGGGCUUUGGCUGACUAGCUAGGUCUGUGUGUAGGUCUGUGCAUGUGAACCUAGGUGCCUGCGGAGUCUAGAAGAGAAUGGCAGAUCCCCUAGAGCUGGAGCUGGAGCUGGAGUUGGAGUUGGAGUUGGAGUUGGAGUUGGAGCUGGAGCUGAAGCUGGAACUGUUUGAACUCAGGCCAUCAGGAGUGGCAGCAAGCCGUUUUACUCCCUGAGCCAUCUCAUCGACUUUGGGGUUUUCUUAAUUACAUCAUGGGAAGGCCCAUCUUGAAUGUUAUGGACUAAACAGUUCCCUCAAGCCUCUGCAAUGUGGCCUCCCUGCCAUGACGGACUGUAACUUGGAACUGUGAUAUAAAACAAAGCCAUACCUAAGA
rnacentral:lncRNA from 1 species